rnacentral:rRNA from 1 species
UACGUAGGGGGCAAGCGUUGUCCGGAUUUAUUGGGCGUAAAGAGCUCGUAGGCGGCUUGGUAGGUCCGCUGUGAAAACUCGAGGCUCAACCUCGAGAUGUCGGCGGAAACCACUUGGCUAGAGUCCGGAAGAGGAGAGUGGAAUUCCCGGUGUAGCGGUGAAAUGCGCAGAUAUCGGGAAGAACACCUAUGGCGAAGGCAGCUCUCUGGGACGGUACUGACGCUGAGACGCGAAAGCGUGGGGAGCGAACAGG